UAAGUUCGGAAAAUGUGAGAAAGAUCAAAACUUCGAAACUCUUGCCGAUGACGAGCUGCGGAAACAGGAGCUUCCUGAGAUAGAUCGCGUGGUGAAGUUGGCUUUGGCUUGUGUGGAUGAAAAGAAGGAGAACCGACCGAAGAUGAGUAAGAUUGUUCGAGACCUCGAAGAUAUUGUCGAAGAUUGUCUCAUCCGUAAGGCGGGAAGAGACCCUGGCCGUGUAGCCUCCACUUCGGCGCCAGCCUAGAAGCGCGGGUCCUAGCCGCCCUACAACCCAAGAUCUGGAGGUGGGAAGGAUUUAAGAGACAGUCAAGUUUCUGCGGAUGCUCUUGAACCUCCUUGUUUUAACGCUUCACCGUGUAUGGCAAGACAGGCAUUUGAUUUUCAAGCAUUGACUUCGAUAAUUUGGUUAUUUGGGAUUUAAGUUUAUUUGGAGUGGAUGGACAGAUGCUACUAUUGUUUGCGGUAGGUUGAAGUGAUUCAUGUCAGGACCCAAAGAUUAUUUUUAAAGUUUGGUAGCAUCGGGUGAAAUCGUAGUCGAUCAAUGCGCUGACGUCUUUGGUCGUGUGCUGAUCUUAGAUGUUUGAUGUUGGUCGAUUUUGUGAUGGCGAUUGCACGUGAAGGUUUUUUUGAAGUCAAGACUAAA